rnacentral:rRNA from 1 species
UACGUAGGGGGCAAGCGUUGUCCGGAAUCAUUGGGCGUAAAGAGCGUGUAGGCGGUCCGGUAAGUCGGUUGUGAAAGUCCAGGGCUCAACCCUGGGAUGCCGACCGAUACUGUCGGACUAGAGUUCGGAAGAGGCGAGUGGAAUUCCCGGUGUAGCGGUGAAAUGCGCAGAUAUCGGGAGGAACACCUAUGGCGAAGGCAGCUCGCUGGGACGUAACUGACGCUGAGACGCGAAAGCGUGGGGAGCAAACAGG